rnacentral:ncRNA from 1 species
AAAAGACUUAGUCCUAACCUUACUAUUAAUUCUUGCCAGACCUAUACAUGCAAGUAUCCGCAUUCCAGUGUAAAUGCCCCUAACUCCUUAUUAGGACAAGAGGAGCAGGCAUCAGGCACACCCCCGUAGCCCAAGACGCCUUGCUUAGCCACACCCCCACGGGUAUUCAGCAGUAACUAACAUUAAGCAAUGAGUGUAAACUUGACUUAGCCAUGGCAACACCAGGGUUGGUAAAUCUUGUGCCAGCCACCGCGGUCAUACAAGAAACCCAAAUUAAUCGUAUACGGCGUAAAGAGUGACUCAACAUUAUCGCCCCCAUCUGAGGCCAAAACAUGUCUAAGCUGUCAUAAGCCCAAGAUACACCUAAGCUUUUUCCUAAUCCUCGCCUCAGCAUUAACGAUCAAUCAACCUCACGAAAGCCAGGGGACAAACUGGGAUUAGAUACCCCACUAUGCCUGGCCGUAAAUUCAAAUGCUUUCCCUACCCAAGCAUUCGCCAGGGAACUACGAGCACAAACGCUUAAAACCCUAAGGACUUGGCGGUGUCCCAAACCCACCUAGAGGAGCCUGUUCUAUAAUCGAUAACCCACGCUACACCCAACCCCCCCUCGCCCCAAGCAGCCUACAUACCGCCGUCGCCAGCUCACCUCCACUGAGAGCCCAACAGUGAGCACAACAGCCUCACCCGCUAAAAAGACAGGUCAAGGUAUAGCCCAUGGGGGGGAAGAAAUGGGCUACAUUUUCUGGCCCAGACAACCACGAAAGAGGGUCUGAAACCUACCCUCGGAAGGCGGAUUUAGCAGUAAAACAUGACCAUCACACUUGUCUAAACCGGCCCUGGGACACGUACAUACCGCCCGUCACCCUCCUCAUAAGCAAACCCCCCCCCCAUUCCAAUCAAACCACAACCUGCCUAAGAUGAGGUAAGUCGUAACAAGGUAAGUGUACCGGAAGGUGCACUUAGCAUAC